GCCGGCAACAGUUUUGGCGCCCAACGUGGGGCUCGAGGCUGAAAUUUAGCCUUGCCCGGAUCCCUCCUGGCGGCCGACGGAUUGCGGCGACGACCGACGCCCAGCGCGCACCGGUGACUUCAUCAGGGGCCUCGGCGGAGACGCGGUUUGGUCAACCCCAGAGGGCACAACGGUGCAACGCGCUCGAGUAGUGGAGAAGCAGCUGCGGGCAAUGGUGAGGAACCGGUCCCAUGGAUAGGGCGACGGUGAAGAAUCGGUCCCUUGGAUAAGGUAUACCAGAGAUUUGCAGCCUCUCCCGCUGGAUGCCCCUGUCCACUCCCUGCAACCUGGUGACUCCAUUCUCAUUCGGACCUGGAAGGACAAGCCUCUCCAAGAGAAGUGGAAGGGACCCCACACCGUCCUGCUAGUCUCCCACACAGCAGUAAAGGUCGAGGGACACAAGAACUGGAUUCAUCACUCCCGUCUGAAGGCAGUGCCCACUCCUGAACGGUGGACCGUCCAGCCUACGGAAAAGGACUACCAGCGACGACCUGGGACUUAAACUGUUAUUCAAAA